GUGUGUGUGCAGUUCCAGCAGCUGUUGCAUGCGUGUGCUCAUGUCUCCGGUGGAGGCCCACCCCUUUCCGCCUGCACCGGAGCAGUGCAGGCGAGGAGAGCUCGGAGCUGGCUCCAUGGGAGAGGGUCCUUUGCCUGUCAGAGCCUUCCCAGCUGGGAGAAGCAGUGCCGCCGGCUCUGGCCCCAGAGCCCUAUCAGCCGAGCCUGUGGCGAAUUAAUCACUUGCGUUUUAAAUGCCAAUACAGCCCUUUCUGCCUUCUUCCCCCAGUGAUGCGGAUGCGGCGAAGGCAGCAAAUCCUCCGGCUGUGCGUGCCCUCCCCGGACUGCUGCUCCAUCCCCGCCCGCCGUGCCCGCGCGUGUGCCUGGCUGGGAGCGCUGCCUAGGUGCGGCCGGGAAUGAGACAGCUGCGGGGCAAGGACCGGAGCAGCUCCAAGGGCUGACACCAGCGGGGGAUACCCCCCCACACAAAAACAUCUGCAGGGCUGCAAGUUGCUUGAGGACCGAGGUCUUUUGUGCCUCCGCUUGGUCUGUGUCAUGCCCCGUAUGGAAGCUGGGAGCAGUCACCCCUCCAGAAGCAGAAGGCGAAGUCGUUCGCAAUGAAUCCAUGGCAGCUUCAAUCGAGCGGUGAGCUGGAGCACCUACUCACAGGCCACUCCUUCAUGUGACUGAACAGAGACCUCUCCCAGCACUCGCCAAGGAGAGCAGAGCCCUGGAUUUACCUCCCGCGCACCCGGCACCCCCAGCGCAGGCACUGUGAGAUUCCAGUGACAGAUGGAUCUCUCUUGUGCAUACUUGCUCUUUCCUUCUUUGUAUUUUUGUUUUCGACAUGUUUGAUCUGAAGCUCUGAAGCUUCUCAGAGGGAACCCAGGAAAGAAGGAAGAGAAGGAGUAGAAACCAAGGGAGCGUGAGCGACACAGGAGGCAGCUCUGCCUUGUUCCUCCAAACCACACUGUCGAGGGGCGGGGGAAGACUAGAGGGGG